CUUCUCUGGCAGUAGUCAAAAUGACCAACACUAACAGCUUUUUAGAUCUCACACCUUAGUUUUCUAUUAUCUUCAAUCUCUUCACCUUGUUUUUCAUACAAAUGUCUUUGAUUAAUCCCUAUGUUGUGUUUCUUGAAAAUACAACUGCUUUGGGAUUUAAUUUGACAGUGUUGCUGAAAACCACAAUAUCCUUCAAUGAGGACCACUCGGAAAGCAAAGUUAAUGAGAGCCAACAUCUCUGUCUGUAUGCCUGCAAAAUAUGUUCAAGAGGAUUACCAAAUGUCAACUGCUUUGAAAUAGCCUGCUCAUGAGUUAUUCUGGCCUGCCUCUCACCACUGGUGGGAAAAGGACCAGUAAAGAACUGAAGCACAUCUGAUCCCUGGUUUGCAUAAAAGAAAAAAUAGUAGAGGUUUUGGAACAUCAGAACCUACAAUUUUAAGUUGGUUGGUGAUAGUCAGGCUCUCUCAUGUUUAAAUGUGGCUUAAGGGAAUUUGGUUGUACUCUCUAUAAUUGAAACUGAUGUUUCUGAAAUUUCUCACACCUCCGCAAGAAGAGAAACCACUGAAUUACCAAACCAUUCAUAUAAACUAUGUUAUGGCCUCUCUAAUUUAGAGGUAGAACUUGAAGCUGGGUCUCCCACAGUCUGAAGGAGCGGCCUUGCCACUAGUUAAUGAAACUUUUUAUUUUGUGUUUCUAAAACAACAAGUCAUGGAAAGUGGAGAAUCCAAUUAACAGUUUUAAUUUGUAGAAAAUGCAGCUGGAGCAAAUGACUAAAUGUAGGAGCUGCUAGAGCCCAAACGCUUUCACAGCUAUUUACUGAGCUGCUGCAGUCCCUGUAGGACUGUUACAGGUAUGAUCCAUUCUAGCUGGACUAGUUGUCAUCAGCUAUCUCAUCCCAGAACUGAGUAACUUCAUAAAAAUUUUGGCUUCAGUCGAUCAGCAUCUUUCAACAAAUGUUAUUUCACAGGAAAAUUCCUGGAUGAAUUUUAAUUAUGACAGGUUAAGUCUGCAAAGGUGUGAUACUUGUUUUGUUGACUAAGUAAAAGAAGUCAGAAUGUCUGGUAAAUUUGAAUUCUGCCCUGAUUAUCUGUAGGAUAAUAAAUUACAGGAUGUGUAAGCAAGUUUGGACAAAGCUACAUGACAGGCCAAGACAAAAAAGGAAGGGAAGAAAGGUGGGAGGGAGGGAGGAAGGAAGGAAGGGGUUUUUUUUCCAGGGAGAAAGAGAACAGUGCCAAAGAUUAAUUUUAUUUUUUAUGCAUUCUCCCUACAGCAAAAUAGAAGGCUUCUAGAAAGAGGGAUAGAAAGAGGUUAAUAGGAAGAGGCUAUUUCAGAUGACAAUUCAGAAACUCUGAGAUGUUCUGAAUUGCCUCUCUGGAAUAGCUCAUCUCUUUCCAUUAACUAGAGAAAGAAUGCAGCCUGACUUCUCUGGAACUAACCUCUGUGUACAGUCACUCAGCACUGCUGUGCAAAGCAGUAAUGCAUACAUUUGUACACAGUGUAUCUGACUUCUGGAACCCAUCACACAUUCAAAGUGAUCCAAGUGUCUAUAGGAAAAGGAUGGGAUUUGUUUUACAUUCAAUUUCUAGGCAAAAAAAAACCCCAACAAAACAGAAAAAAACCCAAACAAUUUUACACAAAUAUCAGAUUCUUCUUCAAACUAUACGGCCCUUUUAAAAUAUUGUCAGUUUUGCUUACAGAUUGCCAAAACUGCAAGUGCAGUCUUAACCUGCUAUGAAAUCCACUGUGGGAACCAUGCACAUUUUUUCAGCCUCUCUGUUGGGGUUUGGCAGGGACAGUUGACCAGAAGCCAGUGGGCUGCUGUGGGAAGCUGGAAGACAAAUUUCCUUGUCUGGCAACAGUUUUCCUUCUGGUUUGUGCUUAUGGCUGGUGAAGUGAAGACACAGGUUCAAUAUUUUCACCACUGACCCAGCAAAAGGAAACUUAGAUUUAUCAAAAGAAAAAAAAAAAGUGCUAAUGGAAAUACAACAUCCUCAUAGCAUCACAAACCAUAACAUCUCUCCUUAGUCACGUUGUAAGGACGAAGUGGGUAUCAUGGAUACCCUGCUGUAACCUCCCCCCUCAGAUCAGGAAGAAUGCUUGUUUGCAAGCCUGGUGUGCCUACGCAGCACAUCUGAGAAGACUAAAUGGUAUUCCUACAGAAUACAGCCCAGGAGACAAAUCUCAUCCAGGUGCUUGAGAUGGCAGCCCGGCAGCACCCUGCCACCUACAAAUGCAGCAGCACUGGUGGCCUGCAGGGCAGCCCCCAGCACCGUGGAGAGCAGCAAGUGGCAGUGCCAGCACCUGUGCAGAACUGAGCUCAGCUGACCCCUGCUCAGCUGACACCACAGCCAGGGCUGUUGUUUAUGAUGGUUUCCAUUAUUUCAGGCUGGAGCCAGGAAACAUUGGCUGUGUGAGCUUCCCCAGCAUAUUGCCUGUGUUCCCAAAUACCAUGUGGUGUGGCACGUGGGAGCACUCACCACAGCACCCUUCUGUGGGGAAACAAUGUGGAUCCAACUGCAGGGAGUGCCUGGCAUCUUUUCUUUGUUCCUAGUAGUGAAUGUCUUUUUGUCAGUAAAGUACCUAAACUUUUUUUUGUACACUCCUGCUAUUAAUGUUGGUGGUGAUAUUCUGCCUUAUUCCAUUGCUUUGUGCUUUUAGUAAAUUGUUAUCUCAA